GACCCCGCACAAGCGGUGGAUCAUGUUGUUUAAUUCGAAGAUACGCGAAAAACCUUACCAGGUCUUGACAUCCCUUGCAAUGCUGUAGAGAUACAGUGGAGGUUAUCAAGGAGACAGGUGGUGCAUGGUUGUCGUCAGCUCGUGUCGUGAGAUGUUGGGUUAAGUCCCGCAACGAGCGCAACCCUUAUUGCUAGUUGCCAUCAUUUAGUUGGGGACUCUAGCGAGACUGCCAGUGAUAAACUGGAGGAAGGUGGGGGAUGACGUCAAAUCAUCAUGCCCCUUAUGACCUGGGCUACAAACGUGAUACAAUGGCUAUUACAGAGGGCCGCAAAGCUGUGAAGUGAAGCUGGAAUCGCUAGUAAUCGCGCAUCAGCCAUGGCGCGGUGAAUACGUUCCCGGGCCUUGUACACACCGCCCGUCACAC
rnacentral:rRNA from 1 species